rnacentral:tRNA from 1 species
UAGUUAUUAACAUAGGUGUAUGUAAAAUAUUUAAUAUAUUUUAUAUUUAGUUCAAGUCUAAAAUAACUAA